rnacentral:rRNA from 1 species
CAGCCGCCGCGGGAAUACGUGGGGUGCGAGCGUUAAUCGGAAUUACUGGGCGUAAAGCGUGCGCAGGCGGUUAUAUAAGACAGAUGUGAAAUCCCCGGGCUCAACCUGGGACCUGCAUUUGUGACUGUAUAGCUAGAGUACGGUAGAGGGGGAUGGAAUUCCGCGUGUAGCAGUGAAAUGCGUAGAUAUGCGGAGGAACACCGAUGGCGAAGGCAAUCCCCUGGGCCUGUACUGACGCUCAUGCACGAAAGCGUGGGGAGCAAACAGGAUUAGAUACCCGAGUAGUCCCUGUCUCUUACAC